AACCAUUCUCACCUGCGGCUAGACCUGCGGAGGGAUCAUUAUUGAAAAACUAUCUCUAGUUCUUCAUAUCCCAUUGUUGAUUUACCCUGUUGCUUCCACCGGACAGCAAUUAUUCUUAAUUGAGUUUGAGCCCUUUGGCUUGCGUGCAAGCGCUUGUCAGGGAGUUGCCGGUGGUAAGACUAUUUAACAAAAACUUUGUUAAAAACAUAAAUUGUCUGAUACUUGCUUCUUAAUGAAACA
rnacentral:misc_RNA from 1 species